rnacentral:rRNA from 1 species
UACGAAGGAUGCAAGCGUUAUCCGGAUUUAUUGGGUUUAAAGGGUGCGUAGGCGGACUUAUAAGUCAGUGGUGAAAUCUCGAUGCUUAACAUCGAACGUGCCAUUGAUACUGUAGGUCUUGAGUACAGAUGCCGUUGGCGGAAUGUGUCAUGUAGCGGUGAAAUGCAUAGAUAUGACACAGAACACCGAUUGCGAAGGCAGCUGACGAAACUGUAACUGACGCUGAGGCACGAAAGCGUGGGGAUCAAACAGGAUUAGAUACCCGUGG